CCUACGGGCGGCUGCAGUGGGGAAUAUUGGACAAUGGGGGCAACCCUGAUCCAGCCAUGUCGCGUGUGUGAAGAAGGCCCUCGGGUUGUAAAGCACUUUCAGUGAGGAAGAACGCCUGGUGGUUAAUACCCAUCAGGAAAGACAUCACUCACAGAAGAAGCACCGGCUAACUCCGUGCCAGCAGCCGCGGUAAUACGGAGGGUGCGAGCGUUAAUCGGAAUUACUGGGCGUAAAGCGCGCGUAGGUGGCUUGAUAAGCCGGUUGUGAAAGCCCCGGGCUCAACCUGGGAACGGCAUCCGGAACUGUCAAGCUAGAGUGCAGGAGAGGAAGGUAGAAUUCCCGGUGUAGCGGUGAAAUGCGUAGAGAUCGGGAGGAAUACCAGUGGCGAAGGCGGCCUUCUGGACUGACACUGACACUGAGGUGCGAAAGCGUGGGUAGCAAACAGGAUUAGAUACCCUGGUAGUC
rnacentral:rRNA from 1 species